rnacentral:lncRNA from 1 species
CUCCUCUUCUCCUCUUCCUCUCUUCUUCCCUUUUCCUUUCUCUUCUUCUUCCUUUCCUUCUCUUCUUUCCCAGCUGCACUGCUGCAGUUGCAGCCUCAGCCACGGCCGUAGCCUCUUCUUCCUCCCCUGCUCAUCUUCCUCUCCUUCUUCUCUUCCAACUGNNNNNNNNNNNNNNNNNNNNUUCCUCUUCCUCUUUCCCUGCCACAACUGCAACUGCCACAGCCGCAGCUGCUUCUUUCUCUUCUCCUCUUCCUUCUCCUUCCUUUCUUCUUCUUCUCUUCUUCCUCACCUUUUUUUCUUCCUCUCCUUCUCUUCCAGCUGCAGCUGCCACCGCCGCAGCCGCAGCUCCUCCUUUCCCUUCUCUUCUUCUCCUCUUCUUCUUCACUCCUCCUCCCCGGCGUCACACACACCCUCUCCUCUGUUUCCUCUCCAGGAAAGAGAGGUAUCACAACCUCUUCUCCUACUUCCUCUUCUUCUUCUUCUCCUCCCCAAUGCCCCACACCUCGUCUCCUCUGUUUCCGCCUGCAGGAAACAGAGGUGCUGCAGCCCUAGCUGCUGCCACCUCUCGCUCCUCUCCCACUUCCCUCUCUUUUUCUUCUUCUUCUAUUCUUCUCUUCUCCCUCUUCUUCCUCCUCUCUUCUUUUCUUCUUCUCCUCUUCUUCCUUUCUCCUCCCCAAUGCCCCACAGCUCCUCGCUGCAGCCCUUGCUGCAGCCACCUCCUCUUUUCUUCUUCUUCUUCUUCUUCUUCUGCUUCUCUUCUUCUCCUCUUCUUCCCUUCUCCUCCCCGACGUCCCACUCAUGAACUCCUCUAUUUCCUCCUACAUGAAACAGAGGUGCUGCAGCCCUAGCUGCUGCAACUAUCUCUCUUUCCUCUCCCUCUUCCCUCUCUUCUUCUUUUUCUUUUCUUCUCUUCUCCCUCUUCUUCUCUUCUUCUUCUCCCCACGCCCCACCGCUCCUCUCUCUUUUUGAACAGAGGGCGUUGGAGGCGAUGGGAUAAAACCGAAAUUUUCGGUUUUCCUUUUUUUUUUUUAUAACUUAACAGUUUAGUCCUUAAAAUUUCUAUAUUUAUAUAUAGGUCCUUCGAUUUAUAAAUAAUUUUUUAUUAAUAAAUUUUAAAAGUGAGGGAUAUUACACUCUCCCCCCUCUCUUAAAAGAAAAUUUAGUCAUCUAAAUUGAUUAUAGCGCAAUCGAUGAAAAGAUGAGGAUUAUGAUUUCUUUAUUUCCUCCUACUCUCAAAUAAUUUCAUCAAUAUAAUACAAUCCUUAUUUCAUAGUCCUUGUAGUUGCUUUUUCAAUUUCACUUACUCAAAUGAUAUCAUUCUGUAGAGAGGCUUGGAUAUUGGGAUUGUCCCAAGGAUUAAAUCAAAAGCAAAGUCACAUUUGGAGGUAAUCCAUGCAAGUCAUCCUGGGAUACAUUAGGCAAGGAGAUAAAUCAUGUCCAAUACUCUCAAAAUAAAAGAUCGGCUGAUCAAAUAUGCAAAAAGUGAUCAUUUGUUAUAUACCAAUCCAUACUGGUAUGAUGGGAAGAUAGAUAAUCCAUACCAAGUAUAAUAUCAAAACUCCAAAUCUCUAGAAGAACUAAAUCAGCAAAAAGUUCAAGUUCUCCAAUAAAAUUAGACAAGAGGACCAGAUUCAAGUUCGUUAUCAAAGAAUCUCCAAUGACUGUAUUUACAUAUAUCACAUAAUGCAGUGGUCUAGGUUGAAUACCCAAGUGAUAAGCAAAAUAUUAUGAAUCAAAUCGUAGAUAGGACCCAUGGUCAAACAAAUAUUUGCAUUCUUUCAUAAACAUGCAUAAUACCUUCGACUACUAAUUUAGAAGUUUUAGAAUCAUAUUCAGUGGUAGCAUACACUCUGAUAUGGGCUGAUGAUUCAAGAGGCAAUGACUCUUUCUUCUUGUUCAAAGGGCAGUAUUUUAUUUUAUGAUCCAACUUUCCACAAGCAAAAUAGGCUUUAGUCACCCAAAAACACAAACUUGUUUUAUAAUUUAACCUGCAAUUCACACAUGAUUGAGUCUUUUGUGAUGACUUUCCUUUUCAAAUCCAAAUGUCUUGACCCUCUUUUUAUCACUUUCUGAUUCAUUUCCAAUCAUAUUUUUAUUGGUAAACUUGUCCUUAACAUUCUUGCCAUUGAUCUUCAAAAAUUCUUUUUAUUGUUCCCAUUAAUGAUCAGCCUCUACUUCCAAUAUAAGGUGGCAAAAAAAAUAUUUUGAUCAUUGAAACAAUUUCGUACAUCAAAUAUCUUUUCCAUUCGCAUUAUCCAUUUUUCUGCCAACAACGAAAUUAGGUUCACCAUGCUUUCACUGUGCCACUCUGAUUUGAUAUCCCCGAUGAACCCUUUCAUCCUACUUAAUUAAUCAGAAACAAUUGAAAUAGGAGGACCAAAUUGCCUCAUCAUCCUUGAUUCCUAAAAUGCAUCAAAGAAAAUUUCCCUAAUCACUAUAGUUCACUAGACCUCAAUAUAUUUUGCACGUCAUCAUAUUAAAUAUUUCAGUGAUCCUCAAACCAUGCUCGGAUACCACUUCUGUCACGCCCCUCAAAAAUAUCGAUAAUAUUAAAAUUUUCAUCACAAACCAAUCUAGGAUCCAGACUAACAUUUGAGGACACUGAAAAACAUUAUAUCAAAUUCAUAUCUAUAAAACCUAUGCAGUUUAUAAUCAUAUAUCACAUCACUCGAUAAUUUACAUUUAUGGCAACCCAAGCCAACUUAACAAACAUGAACAAUAUUUAUAAAUCCACAAGCUAAGUAAUUUAUACAAUCAAAACUCCAACCAUUUACCACAAGUUCAUAUCAUCGUAAACUAGACUUAACAUUUUGAAACUCCAAAUAAGAGAGAUCGUCUAAUACUUUUACAAGGUAUAUUUAUUUCAGUUCAUCGACAACAUUUCAUUACAUACAAAAUAAGCUUAUACAACAAUAACAUAAUAACCAACAAGACUUGCCCAUAAUUCUGAAUAGCUCUCCACUGCCUCAGCCCAAUUCAAAACAUCUCAAAGAGUGACAAGCUAACCUGAAAGAUUUAUAUAACAACGGAGUGAGCUAAAAACAGCUCAGCAAGUGACAAAGCAUAUCUAGCACAAGAAGGGACAGUUUUAAACAAACAAGAUAUCACAAUGUAAGAUAGAAUCCAAGAGAUUCAAGGAUAUCAUCUCAUUAGAUGCAGAAUCGUAAAUGUCAUUUCAUUCAUAACAUAUUUGGUUCAUAACAAAUGGAGCAUAGAGUAAUUGGAGCAUAUCAAUAGUGUACGAGAUGUUCCGGAGCAUAUGAAGUGCAAAUAGGACAUUUCAUAACAUAUCAGUUCAUAGCAAAUGGAGCACAGAGUAAUUGGAGCAUAUCAAUAGCGUACGAGAUGUUCCGGAGCAUAUCAAUGGCAAAUAGGAUAUUUCAGAAUAUAUCAGUUCAUAGCAAAUGGAGCACAGAGUAAUUGGAGCAUACCAAUAGCGUAUGAAAUGUUCCGGAGUAUAUCAAUGACAAAUGAAACAUUUCGGAAUAUAUCAAUGGUAUGUGAAGCAUUUUGAAGUAUAUCAAUGGCAUAGAAAACAUUUUGGAGCAUAUCAAUACAAAAUACGAAACAGAAGCUCAGACGUCGUACCCUAGCAUAGUGCAUGUGAGGUUUAACUCAGUGGUGGCUCCAUGCCGUGAUGAGUUCUCGACUCUAUCCAUGGGUAGCCCAUUCCUACUCGAGCCCUCUCACCCUACCCAAAUGCUAGGUCAGCUCUGAAUUUCAUAUCAAACAGAUAGAAGGUGAAGUGGGAUUCCAAACAUAAUAUGAUAUAUCCAUUUUUGAAUGACCACCAAACAUAAUCCAGAGCAUCGUGAGCUCUAAAGCACAUACCCUUUAGCAUUUCUGGCAAAGGUCCAAAUAAUCCCACAAACACCAGAGUACAAAAAGGUAUUGUGAACAAUAAAUUGGGACAUAUCGGAAGCACAUAUGGAACAACGAAAUAUACUUGUGCCUUUAUGAGUUAAUACAAUGCAAACAUAAUCAUUCAGAAAUGUAUUCAGAUUUAAAAGAGAAUGAAAGAAAAAGCGUACAAGGAUUCCAAGCAAUCACAUAUAGCUCAAUUCAAAUAAGAAGGUUAAAUGAAAUUGAUUUCCAAAGGAAUGAAACCAGAAUAUGCGAAAUCGACCAAAGCUCGAUUUCUGGCAGAAUUUAAGGGGCACAUUGAAUAAAUGAUUCAAACUAUCAAUCGUGCUCCAAUUUUACUCAGAAAUAUAUCAUUAGAAAGAUAUUUCAAUCUACUUUCAUAUAAAAUAAGCUUCAUAUGAAUUGAACUGUCCAACAGAGAGUUACAAAUAAUUUGGAAAACAAGGGUCGGAGAACAAAAUCUCUGUUUAGCAGAAUUUAUAAGGACAGAUUCAACAGAUAACUGGGCAGGUGUUUGGAAUCCAAAUCUUUCAAUCCAUAUAUCAAAAGAAAGAUCUACGAGUCUAGUUUCUAAUGAAAUAUUUUAAAUAAAUCAGAGUUUCCAACAUCGACUUAUAGGCAACUCGGUAUCAAAAGGUCAGAAAUUACGAUCCUUGUUUUACAGAAUCUGUAGGCUCAUUUGAAACAGAAGUUUGGGUAGGCAAACUUACUCCGAAUUCUUAAAAUAAGCUAUCAAAAGAAAGGUUUAUGAGCCUAUAUUCUGAUCAAAUAAGUUUUGUCAAAAUCAAAGGUCAAUACGUGAAGUUAUAACCAUAACAAGGUAGAAAGGUCAGAAUCUUAGAAGUUGUACAGAUUCGAAUCGUUACGUCUAAACAGGAGUUAUAUCAAAUGCAAGGCUAGAACAAUUCAAAGUUCCUCAUAUUCAAAGCAAACAUAGAGAUAAAAUUGUAGUAAAGAAAGAUUAGGACACUUGCAAUAGGAAAGAUUAGAAAGCUUGAAAUAGGAAAGAUCGGAACACUUGCCUUUCAAAUAUUUUGAUUCGAAGAUCUAAAGAAGGUGUCAGCCCAAAUCCUUCUAAUUUUCCUCCGUAUCCUCUCCCUGUUUCGUUUUCUACGUAUCUUUUCUUUUUCCUCCACAACUGUAGCUCAUGCAGAACAUAGAGGCAUAGUCACUUGCUCUCUCUUACUCUCAUUCCUCCAUUUUCUUUUUCAAACACAACUGUCACAGCCAUCGCCGCUGCCACUACCACAGUCGUAGCCACGACCGCAGCUACUAUCACAACCGCAUCCCCUUCCACUGCACUACUUCCUUUCUCUCUUCUCUCAUUCCUACUUUUUCUUUCCCAAACACAGCUGUCGCAGACGUAGCCGCCACCACCGCAGCCGCAAUCACGGCCACAGCCCCUUUAUUUUUCCCCUUUCCUUUCUUUCUAUUUCCCUGAAGCAGUUGAUGCAGCCACCACCGCUGCCGCAGCUACCGUAGCCAACGUCGCAGCCGCGGCCGCAAUCAUAGCCACCACAGCCGCAGCCUCUUCUUCCUCCCCUGCUCUGUUUCCUCUCCUUUUUCUUUCAGCUGCAGCUGCCACUGUCGCAGCUGCCUCCUCUUCUCCUCUUCCUCUCUUCUUCCCUUUUCCUUUCUCUUCUUCUUCCUUUCCUUCUCUUCUUUCCCAGCUGCACUGCUGCAGUUGCAGCCUCAGCCACGGCCAUAGCCUCUUCUUCCUCCCCUGCUCAUCUUCCUCUCCUUCUUCUCUUCCAACUGCAGCUGCCAUUGCCGCAGCCGCAGCCCCUUCUUCCCCUUCUCUUCUUCCUCUCCUUCCCUUCUUCCUUCCUCUUCCUCUUUCCCUUCCACAGCUGCAGCUGCCGCAGCCGCAGCC